CAACCCUUAAGCCCCCGUUGCUUAGCGUUGGGAGCCUACGGCACACCCGCCGUAGCUCCCCAAAGUCAGUGGCGGAGUCGGUCCCACGCUCCAGACGUAGUAGAAUCUCCUCUCGUCUGCGGCUGGGCCGGUCCCCUGCCGUAAAACACCCCACUAUCUCAAGG
rnacentral:misc_RNA from 1 species